ACUAUGCGACGAUUCAGCUCACGUAUCCUCUCUCUCUCUCACGAAGAAAACGGCGCGGUGAACUUCGCACGUAUCUCCGAUCAAACAAGUACAGCGCCGCCGUGAAUCGAACCACGAGCGUCGCUCUCCCUCGCCUUUCAUCUCAAUCUCAGAUCCUAAUUUGUAUCUUUCUCAGAUUCUCCUCUCUUCGUCCCUAAUCUAAUGUAAAACGAAACCCUAGGUCUAAGAAGAAAUGCAAUUAAGCCUCCACGAUUAACAAUCGAGGAGCGAGAUCAUGGGAAAAAUAAUCAGAAGACAGUAAUCUACUGUAUGGCAUCAAAAAAAUAGCGUAAAGAGAUGAAGAGAGUUUGAGGAGUUCGCGUUUACCUACCGGAGUCAGUCCGGCGCUCCUUCGACGGCGUCGAUUUGGCGAAAUAAACGCGAGGAAGUCUUCACUUCAGGUGCAUGAUACAGAUUGGAAGCGGCUCGGUGAACGCAAAAGGCUUGGCAUAGUAGGAUGAGGAGAGUGGAUCAGGGCAUGGGAUAAGGCUUGAAGAUAAGGAGAAAUGUGAAGAUGGAAUAGAAUUGAAGAUUAUACUUAGAAAUUAGUAUAUACUUUACUGUAUAACAUUCUUGUGAUGUAAGGUGCAACUGGACAGAAGCGAAUGUGGAUGUGGUUGUGUGAUGUAAAUUAUAAUGAUUGUUUUGCCA